rnacentral:rRNA from 1 species
UACGGGGGGGGCAAGCGUUGUUCGGAAUUACUGGGCGUAAAGGGCUCGUAGGUGGCCAACUAAGUCAAACGUGAAAUCCCUCGGCUUAACCGGGGAACUGCGUCUGAUACUGGAUGGCUUGAGUUUGGGAGAGGGAUGCGGAAUUCCAGGUGUAGCGGUGAAAUGCGCAGAUAUCAGGAAGAACACCCGUGGCGAAGGCGGCUCUCUGGGACGGUACUGACGCUGAGACGCGAAAGCGUGGGGAGCGAACAGG